rnacentral:misc_RNA from 1 species
AACGCAUAUUGCGCCCCUUGGUAUUCCGGGGGGCACACCUGUUCGAGCGCCAUUUCAACCCUCAAGCUUAGCUUGGUGUUGGGUGAGGUCCCCAUCUAGGACCCUCCCGUAACCUGUAGGCGGUCAUCAUCCGUACCCUCCUAGCGUAGCAGGCUCACGCACUCGCUCGAGGGGAUGGGGUAAAGACCAUGCCUUAACCCUUUCAAAGGUUUGGCCUCGGAUCAGGUGGGGAUACCCGCUGAACUUAA